AGAGUUUGAUCAUGGCUCAGGACAAACGCUGGCGGGGUGCGUGAGACAUGCAAGUCGAACGAGGUGCCAUCGGGCUUGCUCGAUGGCUACCUAGUGGCGGACGGCUGAGUAACGCGUAGGUGACCUGCCCGGAAGUGGGGAAUAACUGCCCGAAAGGGUGGCUAAUACCGCAUGUGGUCGGCGAUUCGGUUCGCCGACUAAAGGAGCAAUCCGCUUCCGGAGGGGCCUGCGUCCGAUUAGCUAGUUGGUGAGGUAACGGCCCACCAAGGCGACGAUCGGUAGCUGGUCUGAGAGGAUGAUCAGCCAGACUGGGACUGAGACACGGCCCAGACUCCUACGGGAGGCAGCAGUCGGGAAUUUUGCCCAAUGAGCGAAAGCUUGAGGCAGCAACUCCGCGUGAGGGACGAAGGCCUUCGGGUUGUAAACCUCUUUUCUCAGGGAAGAUACAAGACGGUACCUGAGGAAUAAGCCACGGCUAACUACGUGCCAGCAGCCGCGGUAAUACGUAGGUGGCGAGCGUUGUCCGGAUUUACUGGGCGUAAAGAGCGCGCAGGCGGCUGGCCAAGUCCGAUGUGAAAGCUCCCGGCUUAACUGGGAAACUGCAUCGGAAACUGACCGGCUUGAAGGUGGGAGAGGGUAGUGGAAUUCCCGGUGUAGUGGUGAAAUGCGUAGAUAUCGGGAGGAACACCAGUGGCGAAGGCGACUACCUGGCCCACUCUUGACGCUGAGGCGCGAAAGCUAGGGGAGCAAACGGGAUUAGAUACCCCCGUAGUCC
rnacentral:rRNA from 1 species